CGCCCUGGGGACCACCGGCUGGGGUGGGUGAGCCAUGUGGACUGGACUCUGAGCCGCGAGAACCUUUAACACAGAAACCAUCAUUAACUGCGCCCUGGCUUGGCCACCUGCCCGGGAUCAGAGGACUUCUGGACAGAAGAAAAACAGGUCAAACAGGUUUGGAAUGACAUAAUGCAUGAGACAGCAUUACGAGAUGAGAAAAGAGCUCUACAUUAGCCCUGUUGUUGUUUCCACAAAAGCAGAUGGCCCUGUCUGGCUCUCAAUCCAGUGCACAUGAGCAUCAUGAACAGCUGGCUGUGAACAGAAUCAGGGUCAUCCCCAGGCCUCUUACUGAUCACCUCGACCAUGCUGGAGGGGAAGUAGCCCACUCUGUCAUUUCCUGUGCGGUUAUCAUGGAUGCAGCCCUUCCACCUCCCAUCUGAAUGUUGCUCCAGAACCUACACAGAAUCAUAAUCA